rnacentral:tRNA from 1 species
GGAGGUAUAGCCCAGGGGUAAAGCAUUUGACUAUAGAUCAAGAGGUUCCUGGUUCAAAUCUCAGUUCUUCCU